rnacentral:rRNA from 1 species
CCCCUGUGAACAUACCACUUGUUGCCUCGGCGGAUCAGCCCGCUCCCGGUAAAACGGGACGGCCCGCCAGAGGACCCCUAAACUCUGUUUCUAUAUGUAACUUCUGAGUAAAACCAUAAAUAAAUCAAAACUUUCAACAACGGAUCUCUUGGUUCUGGCAUCGAUGAAGAACGCAGCAAAAUGCGAUAAGUAAUGUGAAUUGCAGAAUUCAGUGAAUCAUCGAAUCUUUGAACGCACAUUGCGCCCGCCAGUAUUCUGGCGGGCAUGCCUGUUCGAGCGUCAUUUCAACCCUCAAGCACAGCUUGGUGUUGGGACUCGCGUUAAUUCGCGUUCCUCAAAUUGAUUGGCGGUCACGUCGAGCUUCCAUAGCGUAGUAGUAAAACCCUCGUUACUGGUAAUCGUCGCGGCCACGCCGUUAAACCCCAACUUCUGAAUGUUGACCUCGGAUCAGGUAGGAAUACCCGCUGAACUUAAGCAUAUCAA